rnacentral:rRNA from 1 species
GAUGAACGCUAGCUACAGGCUUAACACAUGCAAGUCGAGGGGCAGCGGUAUCGAAAGCUUGCUUUCGGUAGCCGGCGACCGGCGCACGGGUGAGUAACGCGUAUCGAACCUGCCUCAUACUCGGGAAUAGCCUUGCGAAAGUAAGAUUAAUGCCCGGUGUUUUCAGAGUCCCGCAUGAGGCUUUGAACAAAGAUUUAUCGGUAUGAGAUGGCGAUGCGUCCCAUUAGCUUGUUGGCGGGGUAACGGCCCACCAAGGCAUCGAUGGGUAGGGGUUCUGAGAGGAAGGUCCCCCACAUUGGAACUGAGACACGGUCCAAACUCCUACGGGAGGCAGCAGUGAGGAAUAUUGGUCAAUGGGCGGAAGCCUGAACCAGCCAAGUAGCGUGCAGGAAGACGGCCCUCCGGGUUGUAAACUGCUUUUAGUUGUGAAUAAAACGGGGCUCGUGAGCCCCCUUGCAUGUACCAUCAGAAAAAGGACCGGCUAAUUCCGUG